AUCGAACGCUGGCGGCAGGCCUAACACAUGCAAGUCGAGCGAGCGGCGGACGGGUGAGUAAUGUAUGGGGACUGCCUGAUAGAGGGGGCUAACUACUGGAAACGGUGGCUACUACCGCUUAAUAUCGGUUAAGCCAUAUGGGAUUAGCUAGUGGGUGGGGUAAAGGCUCACCUAGGCGACGAUCUCUAGCUGGUCUGAGAGGGUGAUCAGCCACACUGGGACUGAGACACGGCCCAGACUCCUACGGAGGCAGCAGUGGGGAAUAUUGGACAAUGGGCGCAAGCCUGAUACAGCCAUGCCGCGUGUAUGAAGAAGGCCUUAGGGUUGUAAAGUACUUUCGUCGGGGAAGCGUUACCCACAGAAGAAGCACCGGCUAACUACGUGCCAGCAGCCGCGGUAAUUC
rnacentral:rRNA from 1 species